AGGGCAGACGGUGGAUGCCUUGGCUCUCGGAGGCGACGAAGGACGUGAUAAGCUGCGAAAAGCCCGGGGGAGGCGCAAAUAGCCCUUGAUCCCGGGAUAUCCGAAUGGGGCAACCCGGCAGGCUGAAGGCCUGUCAUCCCGUAAGGGAGGCGAACGUGGGGAACUGAAACAUCUAAGUACCCAUAGGAGGAGAAAAUAAACAAUGAUUCCGUAAGUAGUGGCGAGCGAACACGGAAGAGCCCAAACCCAUGUCGUCUAGGCGACACGGGGGUUGUAGGACCACGACGUGGCAAGAUAGAGUCAAGUGGAACGCCUUGGAAAAGGCGGUCAUAGAGGGUGAAAACCCCGUACACGACUGACGAUUGAAGCCUAGUGGCAUCCUGAGUAGCGCGGAGCACGAGGAAUUCUGCGUGAAUCUGCCGGGACCAUCCGGUAAGGCUAAAUACUCCCGAGAGACCGAUAGCGAACCAGUACCGUGAGGGAAAGGUGAAAAGAACCCCGAGCAGGGGAGUGAAAUAGACCCUGAACCCGUCUGCCUACAAGCGGUCGGAGCGUCGUAAUGACGUGACGGCGUGCCUUUUGCAUAAUGAACCUACGAGUUACCUUCCCCGGCAAGGUUAAGUACCUAAGGUACGGAGCCGAAGCGAAAGCGAGUCUGAACAGGGCGCCAAGUCGGGGGGGGUAGACGCGAAACCGAGUGAUCUACCCUUGGCCAGGUUGAAGGUUGGGUAACACCAACUGGAGGACCGGAUGGGUAAGCGUUGAAAAGCUUUCCAAUGAGCUGAGGGUAGGGGUGAAAGGCUAAUCAAACUCGGAGAUAGCUCGUACUCCCCGAAAUGCAUUUAGGUGCAGCCUCUUUAUAGUAUAUCGUGAGGUAGAGCGACUGAUUGGAUGCGAGGGCUUCACCGCCUAUCAAGUCCAGAUAAACUCCGAAUGCGCGAUAUAUAUUUAAAGGGAGUGAGGGCGCGGGUGCUAAGGUCCGUGUCCGAGAGGAGAAGAAUCCAGACCACCGGCUAAGGCCCCCAAAUGAUCGUUAAGUUGAACUAACGAGGUCGGAUCGCAGAGACAGCUAGGAUGUUGGCUUGGAAGCAGCCAUUCAUUUAAAGAGUGCGUAACAGCUCACUAGUCGAGCGAUCUGGCGUGGAUAAUAAUCGGGCAUAAACGAUCUGCCGAAGCCGUGGAUGUCGCAAGACAUGGUAGGGGAGCAUUCCAUGCCGCGUCGAAGAUGAGGGAUGACCCUUGUUGGAGCGCAUGGAAAAGCAAAUGUAGGUAUGAGUAACGAUAAGGGGGGCGAGAAACCCCCCCGCCGAAAGACCAAGGUUUCCUGAUCAACGCUAAUCGGAUCAGGGUGAGUCGGGACCUAAGGCAAAGCCGAACGGCGCCGCCGAUGGAAGAAUGGGUUAAUAUUCCCAUACUGCCUCAUGGAGUGACGUGGAGACGGAGAAGUGACAGUCCUGCCGGCUGACGGAAUAGCCGGUUGAAGGGUGUAGAUAUUGAUUCCCGUAGGCAAAUCCGCGGGGAGAGUCGAACCUGAGAGUAUACGGAGCGCUUGCGCAACGUAAUAUGGACGUAACCAUGCUCCCGAGAAAAUCCGCUAAACUUAUCCAUGCGGCACCCGUACCGUAAACGGACACACGUGGUCGGGUUGAGAAUACUGAGGCGCUCGAGUGAUUCACGGUUAAGGAACUAGGCAAAUUGACCCUGUAACUUCGGGAUAAAGGGUCCUCGUCGUAAGGCGAGGCGCAGAGAAUAGGUCCAGGCAACUGUUUAACAAAAACACAUGGCUGUGCUAAAUGGAAACAUGAUGUAUACAGCCUGACACCUGCCCGGUGCCGGAAGGUUAAGAGGAGAUGUCAUCCGCGAGGAGAAGCGUUGAAUUGAAGCCCCGGUAAACGGCGGCCGUAACUAUAACGGUCCUAAGGUAGCGAAAUUCCUUGUCGGGUAAGUUCCGACCUGCACGAAUGGUGUAAUGAUCUGGACACUGUCUCAACCGUGAGCUCGGUGAAAUUGUAGUAUCGGUGAAGAUGCCGAUUACCCGCGAUGGGACGAAAAGACCCCGUGAACCUUUACUAUAGCUUUACAUUGAGUUUGGGCAGACGAUGUGUAGGAUAGGCCGGAGGCAUUGAAGCAGGUACGCCAGUAUUUGUGGAGCCGACGUUGAAAUACGGCCCUUCGGUUGUUUGAGUUCUAACUCCUGUUAGGAGGACACUGUAUGGUGGGUAGUUUGACUGGGGUGGUCGCCUCCAAAAGCGUAACGGAGGCUUCUAAAGGUGCCCUCAGACCGAUUGGUAACCGGUCGCAGAGUGUAAUGGCAUAAGGGCGCUUGACUGGGAGACAUACAAGUCGAUCAGGUAGGAAACUAGAGCAUAGUGAUCCGGUGG
rnacentral:rRNA from 1 species